rnacentral:rRNA from 1 species
AACGACCGCUGGCGGCAGGCUUAACACAUGCAAGUCGAACGAACAUAGCAAUAUGUUAGUGGCAGACGGGUGAGUAACGCGUGGGAAUGUGCCCUAUGGUUUGGAAUAACUCAGGGAAACUUGAGCUAAUACCGGAUAAUCCCGAGAGGGGAAAGAUUUAUCGCCAUUGGAGCAGCCCGCGUCUGAUUAGCUAGUUGGUGAGGUAAUGGCUCACCAAGGCGACGAUCAGUAGCUGGUCUGAGAGGAUGAUCAGCCACACUGGGACUGAGACACGGCCCAGAAUCCUACGGGGAGCAGGCGUGGGGAAUAUUGGACAAUGGGGGCAACCCUGAUCCAGCCAUGCCGCGUGAGUGAUGAAGGCCUUAGGGUUGUAAAACUCUUUUAUCCGGGAAGAUAAUGACUGUACCGGAAGAAUAAGCCCCGGCUAACUUCGUGCCAGCAGCCGCCGUAA